rnacentral:rRNA from 1 species
GACGAACGCUGGCGGCGUGCUUAACACAUGCAAGUCGAACGCUGAAGCCCAGCUUUUGUUGGGUGGAUGAGUGGCGAACGGGUGAGUAACACGUGAGUAACCUGCCUCCUUCUUUGGGAUAACGCCCGGAAACGGGUGCUAAUACGGGAUAUUCACUGUUCUUCGCGUGGGGGUUGGUGGAAAGGGUUUUUCUUGUGGGGGUUGGACCCGAGGUCUAUCAGCUUGUUGGUGGGGUGAUGGCCUAGCAAGGCUUUGACGGGUAGCAGGCCUGAGAGGGUGGCUGGUCACAGUGGGACUGAGAUACGGCCGAGACUGAGACGCGGGGCAGCAGUGGGGAAGAUUGCACAAUGGGCGAAAGCCUGAUGCAGCGACGCGGCGUGAGGGAUGGAGGCCUUCGGGUUGUGAACGUCUUUGGCUCAUGGUCAAGCCGCAACAAUGGUUGUGGUGAGGGUAGUGGGUAAAGAAGCGCCGGCUAACUACGUG